rnacentral:rRNA from 1 species
UUAGAGUUUGAUCCUGGCUCAGGACGAACGCUGGCGGCGUGCUUAACACAUGCAAGUCGAACGGAAAGGCCCUGCUUUUGUGGGGUGCUCGAGUGGCGAACGGGUGAGUAACACGUGAGUAACCUGCCCUUGACUUUGGGAUAACUUCAGGAAACUGGGGCUAAUACCGGAUAGGAGCUCCUGCUGCAUGGUGGGGGUUGGAAAGUUUCGGCGGUUGGGGAUGGACUCGCGGCUUAUCAGCUUGUUGGUGGGGUAGUGGCUUACCAAGGCUUUGACGGGUAGCCGGCCUGAGAGGGUGACCGGCCACAUUGGGACUGAGAUACGGCCCAGACUCCUACGGGAGGCAGCAGUGGGGAAUAUUGCACAAUGGGCGGAAGCCUGAUGCAGCAACGCCGCGUGCGGGAUGACGGCCUUCGGGUUGUAAACCGCUUUCGCCUGUGACGAAGCGUGAGUGAUUAGAGUUUGAUCCUGGCUCAGGACGAACGCUGGCGGCGUGCUUAACACAUGCAAGUCGAACGGAAAGGCCCUGCUUUUGUGGGGUGCUCGAGUGGCGAACGGGUGAGUAACACGUGAGUAACCUGCCCUUGACUUUGGGAUAACUUCAGGAAACUGGGGCUAAUACCGGAUAGGAGCUCCUGCUGCAUGGUGGGGGUUGGAAAGUUUCGGCGGUUGGGGAUGGACUCGCGGCUUAUCAGCUUGUUGGUGGGGUAGUGGCUUACCAAGGCUUUGACGGGUAGCCGGCCUGAGAGGGUGACCGGCCACAUUGGGACUGAGAUACGGCCCAGACUCCUACGGGAGGCAGCAGUGGGGAAUAUUGCACAAUGGGCGGAAGCCUGAUGCAGCAACGCCGCGUGCGGGAUGACGGCCUUCGGGUUGUAAACCGCUUUCGCCUGUGACGAAGCGUGAGUGA